CCAUCAUCACAAUCACCACCACCAUCAUCAUCAUCAUCAACAUCAUCACAAUCACCACCACCACCAACCUCACAAUCAUCAUCAUCGGCAACAUCACAAUCAAGACCACCACCACCAUCAUCAUCAUCAUCUGACCUUACUCAACCUUCUCCUGCAGCAGACUCAAAUCCAAUUCAGUUUUCAUCACAACCAACUCCACCACCAUCAUCAUUAUUGCCAUCAUCAUCAUCACAACCAACUCCACCACCAUCAUCAUUAUUGCCAUCAUCAUCAUCACAAUCACCACCACCAUCCUCACAAUCAUCAUCACCAUCAUCAUCACAAUCACCACCACCAUCCUCACAAUCAUCAUCACCACCAUCAUCAUCACAAUCACCACCACCAUCCUCACAAUCAUCAUCAUCAUCAUCACCAUCAUCAUUGGCAUCAUCACAAUCACAACCACCACCACCAUCCUCACAAUCAUCAUCAUCAUCAUCAUCAUCAUCAUCUGACCUUACUCAACCUUCUUCUGCAGCAGGAUUUCCAGCUUCCACUGUGAUCACUGUGUCUGUAAUUCUGCUGCUGCUUCUGAUUUGAAUCAUAAUACCUACCUUGUUUCUACAAAAGAGACAUAUGAUUAAAGGUACCCAAACACACACAGAACAUGAUGUUCACAACAAAUGUUUAACAUAAAUGUUUCAUAACGCUGGUGAAGCAGGAAGAGUUGCUGCAUCACAUUUCUGGUUUCUGGUGUUCUGUCCUGAGCUCAGGUUACUGUUUUGCAAAAGUUCCCGAAUAUGCUGAUGGGUGGUUUGGUUGCUUACAAUAGCUUCUUGUGAAUGUGUGUGGGUGUGUAUGUGUGUGUGUGUGUAUGUGUGUAUGUGUGUGUGUGUAUGUGUAUGUUACAUGUUCAGCAGGAGGAGCAGUGACACAGUGAUUCUGUUCCAGAUGAACCCAGAAGAGAUAACAGAUCCAUACUCAUUACAGAUUAAUAAAAUUCACUACAGGAUUUUGGGCCAUCAUAAAACCCCAAAUUAAAAUCAUAACAGUAAUAAUAUCUACCUAUUUCAAAAGAUGGCUUAAGAAAGGAACCAGACUCUAAAGGAAACCAGUCCUCUUCUGGGGACACAGAUUUAUACUUUGAUUGUAUAUUAUAGUCAAAAAGUGUUAAAUAACACUGAGAAUCUGAGGAUAUCAUUUAAACCACUAUAUGAGAAUAUUGUAUAUGUCCUCAGCUGAAAAUAAACUGUACACUUCAGCCAUUCCUUAUAGGCUCUAGUGUAUUGUGUGUUAAAGAUGAGUCAAUUUACAAACUGCUGGGGACACUGGAGCAUAUAAUAAAUCAGUAAUGUGCCUUUUGUGGUCUGUUAUCUGCAGACAGAAUCUACUGGGACAUCUACUCUAUGUUAAAUGUAUUUAUUAAGCCACUAUUCCUGUAAUCCUGAUAAAUUGGUGCCAGUUUUUCAAUUUGAAAGCUCAUUACUGCAAACCUGUAGCUUUAACUUCUUUAAAGCCAAAGUGAAUGCAACCAAGAUGCAAAAACCUGGCAACAUACAGGUCAUGCCUUUUAUAACAGUGUGAGUGGGUCUGAUAGGUGAAUUCAGCUGGUCUUUUGUCACAUUUCUGUCUUGGAUUUGCUUACAGUCGCUACACUCUACUCUAAUAUAGCAGUUACUUUAGUAAAAAUUUAGGCAUUUUCCUCUCCUGAACAUAAAAAUGAAAACUGAGUCUCUCAUUAUAAUUUUGUGUAUUAUUCUUCAUUAUACAAAGUCAUUCCUGUGAGUCUGUUUAUUCCACUGCUCAAUUACCCAAAAUCCCCUCUGGUCAGAACAUCUACUCCACAGAUCAGUUACCCAGACGUCUCUCGACUGAGGAACUUGAUGAAGGUCUGAAUUACGCAACGCUGAGUUUUGACUCCAAUGCCACCAGGUCUAAUGAUGCAGUUCCACAGAUUAAGGAAGACGUCUCUACUGACUACGCUUCCCCUUUUGCUUCUUCUUCUUCUUCUUCUUCUUCCUCCUCCCCCUCCUCUUCUUCUUCCUCCUCCUCUUCCCCUUCUAUUUUUCACUUCUUUUUAUUCUUCCUCCCCUAUUUCAUUUUCUUCUUAUGCCUCCUCUGCCCUUCUUCUUCCUCCUCCUCUUCCUUCUCUUCAUCUUCUUCCUCUUCAUCAUCUUCCCCUUCCCCUUAUUGUUCUCCCUCCUCGUCCUGUUCUUUUUCUUCUCUUUCUUAUUUUUUCUUCCCCUUUUUAUUCUUCCCAUAUUGCUUCUUCUUCCACCAUCUUUCCCCCCUCUUCUUCCUCCUCCUCUUCCCUAUCUUGUUCUUCUUCUUCUUCUUCUUCUUCUUCUUCUUCUUCUUCUUCCACCUCCUCCUCCCUUUUGUCAAUUUUCAGUAACCAGUCACUGAUCAUUUUCCCACCCAUGCACUUGUUUGUUUUUCAUUUUAAACAAUGUCGACAUUUACACACUGUUUUAUUUCUGGACUUAUGGGUUUAUGUGAUGCUUCUCUCAUAUAUAAGUAUAGUAAAGAAUAUUUUGUAAAUAGUGGAUUUGUAGUGCCAUAAUUUCUUUCACUCGAAAAAUUAUAAGAUUAUAAAUGAUAAUCUUUCAUAUUCUAUUCUGAUAAAAUUCUAUUCUGUGUUUCUUCAAAGAAAUCUUCCUUCUACAUGUAUCAUAGUAUGAUGAGCAUAUGAUGGUGAUGAAUCAAUGAAUAUUCUAUUUAAUCUAUGAAGUUUUCAGAUGAUUUGUAGUGUCAUUUGGGGGUGGGUAUGUUGUAAAAUGUACAUGUUCCUGACUUUUAAUAAAUCUGCAUAUUGGUCUGUCACAUCAUCUGGUGACAUUUAGUGAAUUUUAAACUUGGAUUAAUUACUUUUCCUUUCAUAUUUGUGGCAAAGCGUGUCUCAGUGCUCAACUAAAUAAAGUGCAUUUUUUAAAUUAACGAUCAUUCUCACUGAUACGGCUCUCUGAUACAAGCUCUGAUACAUGUGUGAUAUGAGCACAUACUAUGCAUGCUUUAUUGUAUUUUUUAUUCAUA